UGAGGAAUAUUGGUCAAUGGGCGCAAGCCUGAACCAGCCAUGCCGCGUGCAGGAUGAAGCAUCUAUGGUGUGUAAACUGCUUUUAUACGGGAAGAAACAGCUCUACGUGUAGAGCCUUGACGGUACCGUAGGAAUAAGGAUCGGCUAACUCCGUGCCAGCAGCCGCGGUAAUACGGAGGAUCCAAGCGUUAUCCGGAAUCAUUGGGUUUAAAGGGUCCGUAGGCGGCCCUGUAAGUCAGUGGUGAAAUCUCCCCGCUCAACGGGGAAACGGCCAUUGAUACUGCAGGGCUUGAAUUAUUGGGAAGUAACUAGAAUAUGUAGUGUAGCGGUGAAAUGCUUAGAUAUUACAUGGAAUACCGAUUGCGAAGGCAGGUUACUAUCAAUACAUUGACGCUGAUGGACGAAAGCGUGGGUAGCGAACAGG
rnacentral:rRNA from 1 species